rnacentral:tRNA from 1 species
UCCCUGGUGGCUCAGAUGGUAAAGCAUCUGCCUGCAGUGCAGGAGACCCAGGUUCGAUCCCUGGGUUGGGAA